AAGUGGCCUGAUUAGGCAGGGACUUGGCUACGUGACACUGCUACAGCGCUAUUUAGACCUAUAAUGUGCACCAUACUGUGACACUGCGUAAAUGUGUGGGCCUGAGGAGGCAAAGAUGAUUUUUAUUUUGUAUCGCUCCAGAGAUAAGAGAAAGAUGAGCUCCCGCUAUCAGCCCCACAUUGAUCUUCUCAUCCCCAAGAACACAAAACACCAAUCAGCCUGUCAUAAUCACUCAGCUGGAAGAGGAAGUGCUAAACGCCAAGUGCAGCUGCUUCGUGUUAACGGAGGGAAAGUGAAAAACAACGCAAGGCUGAGCAUUUGCCAUACAUUUGAUAUUCUGUUUUAAAAGUAAUGCAAAAAGGGAAUAUGGAGGUUUACUUAGCACUUUGCCGAAUCCAUUUUGUUAAUAAUGAUACUGACUCUCAUUUCUUUUUUAUUUGCAUGCCAGAACAAUAAAGGAACAGCUGCUGGAGCCGUCAAUUCUGAAAAAAGGAAAUAGGCUCUAAAUAAUAUCUGUUUCCCCACAGCCUCUAUUCUCUAUUCACUCUGAUAUUUUCACAUAAAAACUUUAGUAUUCAACACGUUUUUUUUCUUCUUCUCGUUUUGUCCCAAAAAAAAGUUUUUUUCAUUCACAGAGACACCUCGUCUGCUCCCUUUGAAACAAUGGAUGUAGUUUAUGAUCUGACAGAUUCUCCAUACUGUGCUUUCUUGUCAAGUAAAACACUUUUACUGCCAACUUUACGUCUUCACGCACCUCAGCUCAGCAUCUUUCCACCACAAAUGAUCUGGCAGAUCAAACCGUUGCGAUGCAUCUAGGUAUUAUUUGGGCUCUGUGAAGUGCAGAAAGACCCAAAAGUUCUCCAUAAAAAUAGGAUCAAACGAGUCACUCUUCCUUCAACUUUAAUGCCAAAGCACAGCUGAAAUUUAGGUGCUGUAAGCCAUUUUCCACCUUGUCAUUUAAGAUGGAAACAUUUAGAUGUGUCAGUCUGUUUAAAUAAAAAAAUAAAAAUAAAAAAA